rnacentral:antisense_RNA from 1 species
AGUAAUGGCGGCUGUGCGUGGGACGCCCUCGGGCGUGCCGGUUCCCUGGUUCCCGGUUUUCCAACCUGCGUACAGCUGCCACCCAU